rnacentral:sRNA from 1 species
GAUCGCAGCCUCUCUAGGAGCAGAUUACAGGUGGAGUUUUGAUGAAACAGUGACUCAUUUCAUCUAUCAAGGGCGGCCAAAUGACACUAAUCGGGAGUAUAAAUCUGUAAAAGAAAGAGGAGUACACAUUGUUUCCGAGCACUGGCUUUUAGAUUGUGCCCAAGAGUGUAAACAUCUUCCUGAAUCUCUUUAUCCGCAUACUUAUAAUCCCAAAAUGAGCUUGGAUAUCAGUGCAGUGCAAGAUGGCCGACUCUGUAAUAGUCGACUACUCUCAGCUGUGUCUGCAACAAAGGAUGAUGAGCCAGAUCCUUUGAUUUUAGAAGAAAAUGAUGUAGACAAUAUGGCCACCAAUAAUAAAGAGUCAGCACCAUCAAAUGGAAGUGGAAAGAAUGACUCUAAAGGAGUUCUGACACAGACCUUAGAGAUGAGAGAGAACUUUCAGAAGCAGUUACAGGAGAUAAUGUCUGCAACAUCAAUAGUGAAACCCCAAGGGCAGAGGACUUCCCUUUCAAGAAGUGGUUGUAACAGCGCAUCUUCAACCCCUGACAGCAGUCGCUCUGCUCGCAGUGGACGAAGUAGAGUCCUAGAGGCACUGAGGCAGUCUCGUCAAACAGUACCUGAUGUCAACACAGAGCCUUCCCAAAAUGAACAGAUUAUUUGGGAUGACCCUACAGCAAGGGAGGAGAGAGCAAGGCUUGCCAGCAAUUUGCAGUGGCCUAGUUGUCCCACACAAUACUCUGAGCUUCAGGUUGACAUUCAAAACUUGGAGGAUUCUCCUUUUCAAAAGCCUUUACAUGAUUCAGAAAUUGCUAAACAGGGUAACAAGAAAGAAAUCUUUGCAUUUGUUUGUAUUAAGUACAUGUUGACCUCUUGAAAAUAAACAGAUGAGCAUGUUGUA